AAAUGAAGUCGAAUAAAAUAUCAGCUAUAAUUAUUUGACUAAGUUUCUUCUCUUCACAAUUACGCGGCGCUCCCCCCAACUAUAUAAAGCAACCUCAUUCAGUAGAUGUGUCGUCUGACACUGAAGUGUCUUCCCAUUUGUUAAGCACGCGUUUAUUACUUUUACUUAAAUUGUUUUCAAAUGGCAGUUAUAAGACCGAUUUUAAGUAGAGUUCAUACGAUAGUAAAUCCCUCUACUUCGCUAGUUCUGAGACAUUAUAAUAAAUCAAGUUCGGUACUUGGAAGGUUUGGUAAGGCUCGGCCGCCGGUUGCUCAAAAGCACCUGUUUCUUAAGGAAGAAAAUGCAAGAGACUUCAUAUACACACUAAAGCCGAACGAGCGGAACAUUUUGUUAACGGAGCUUACUAAAUUCGAAGAGGAAAGAUUAAAAACAUUAGAUAUCGAUGGCCCGCCUGCAUUAACUUCUUCACAAAUUCGAAUGUUAUUUAUACACAAUGCUCUUCCAUUUGUUGGCUUUGGAUUCUUGGACAAUGUUUUAAUGAUAGUUGCGGGAGAAUAUAUUGAUGCAACUUUUGGUUCCUUACUUGGUAUCUCUACAAUGGCUGCUGCAGGUCUUGGGAACAUGGUUUCAGAUGUUGCAGGAAUUGGGUCUGCUUGGUAUGUUGAAGUAUUGGCUGUUAAGGUUGGUUUUCACAUGCCCACUUUAACCCCUCAACAAGUGGAUAUGAGAAAAACACGUUGGAUUGCUAAUUUGGGCAAAGUGAUUGGCAUUACAGUUGGAUGCUUGAUAGGAAUGUUUCCACUACUGUUCUUUAACUAUGACAGAGACACGCAUAAUGAAUCACAAGAAAGCCCAGCAGAACCUGCCACUGAAACAAAAAAGAGCUAGAUAGAGCAAGAUGGUUAGAAAAUUUUAUCUCUGCUCAGCAUUUAUUUUUUAUUGAGACAAACAACUUGUGAAUUCUUGGGAAUUUCUGAGGGAGGGGGGAAUAUACAAGAAAAAAAUAAACCCAUAAAAAUAUUAUUAAAUAGAAAGAAAAGAUACUUGUUUCUAUUUUUUAAUGAUGAAGUGGCCUUUUGAGAUGUUUGUGGAAAGUCAUAAAAUUUUGUUUAAUGCCUAAUAAUUUUUAAUUUAUAUACACCAAUCUGUGUUUUGCAUAAGUAAUUUUAAAUACUCAGUUGCUUUUGGAGUGCAUUAUAAAUUUUACUUUAUUUAAAAAUAUCUUGUUUUUACUAGAUUUAAGAGAUCUGAAUUAUAAUUCCUUAAAUUUGUUACAUAUUUUUUUCAAUUCAAUUUGACACUCUUCUAAAUUUUAGCUUUGUUUAAAUAAUUUCUUACAACACUUUUGUUGUUAUUUUAUUGUAUUAGUAUCGUUGGCAUUAUAUUGUCUAAUUUGUUUGUUUUUAGAAUUCACGCUGUUAAGUUCUUAUUGUAGCAAAUUUUAUUGUAAAAGAAAAUCCAAUUUCUAAUUAAAGAAAUGCUUUCCCUGCCACCCUAAAAAUGUAAUGUUGUGAUGUGAUGAUCCAGCCAGGUUGGAUCAAUUUCCCAAAAGAUUUCUUAUGCACAUGUGUUACUUAAAAAAUAUCUACCAGUCUGUUUUUUUCCUAUCUGUAUGGGUAUGUAUGUGUGUGUAUGCAUGUGUAGACAAUGAAAGGAAAUGCAUUACUUGAAAGUAUUUUACUUUUUCAUUAGAUUCCUUACUGCUGGUGACAAACAGUGAUUUGUAUAAAGUAACUAUCUUUCCAAAAUUUGAACUUCCUAAAACCACUCACAAUUAUUUUGCAAAUCAUUGCUAUAAAGUUGACAUUUCUUUUCAUUAAGCAGUGUAAUUGAACCUGCAUUUGUACAGGUGUAUGAGAAAUUCAGAGUAAUGAGUGAAGCCUCAGCUUCAAAAAAAGAAAAAAAAAAUCUUCAUUUUACGUCCGUUUUUCCAUACUGGUAUGGGUUGGAUGGGUCCACAGUCUUUUGUCAUCUAGCACAAACAGCAACAGAUAAAACCACUGAGCCUUGUUGUUUUGUAUGUCAUGUUUUUUGGCACGAUUUUUAUGGCUGGAUUUCCUUCCUAUCCCAAAUCACUUUACAACAUGAACGGGUGUAUUUUAUUGUGCCACUGGCACUGGAGGAGUUGUCUGUGGCAGGACUAAAGAGACCCUCUACCCUGUAUCAGUUUUUAUUCAGAAUUAUUAUCUCUUAGAUGGGUUGCCUUCACUGUGGCUUGUGGAGUUCACAUUUCUGUUUUUUUAUGGCAUAGUUUUUAUGGCUCAAUUCCCUUCUUAUUGCCAACCACUUUACUGAUGGUCUGGGUGCAUUUUAUUGUGCUGCCAGCACUAGAGGUUGUCUGCAGCAACACUAAGGAGUCCUGUCUAGACUGUAUCAAUUUUUACUCAGUUACUGCCCCCCAGGAUGGGUUGUCUUUGGUGCAGCUUGCAGAUUCCAUAUUGCCUCCAUGCAAUAGGGUUAGAACCUCUUAUUGUAUAAUGUUGGGUUUGUUCAGACUCAUGCAUACCCACAUUCUCAGCUUCCAUAUAUAUAUAUAACACAAGUACAAAACUUUCUCAUCAGUUAAUAAUGCAUUUAUUACAGCAUGUUAUAAUGCUGAUCAGGAAAAAAAAAAAAAGAAAGAAAGCUAAAUAGUUGAUCACGCUGUUAUUUUCUUUACAAUUCCACAAAAUGUUAGAUUAACUGUGGAAGCUUUAUUACUAGCAAAAUACAAAAUAAAAAUAACGACAAACACCACACAUGAAGUAAACUAAAAGUAAUGAGGAAUUAAUGGUUAAACAGUUUUUAAAUUUGGCAAUGGUGAUUUUAUGAAUUGCAUCAUUCUCAUAAUCCCUUGCUGCCUAUUACAAAAUGCAACAACAAUGUGCCAAUAUCCUUUUAUUGAAAAGAUACAGCUGAAAAAAUUUUGAAAUGCUAAUGAACUAAGAAACAUUACUGUUCCAUGAUAAAUAUAAAGGAAAAAUAAUGUAACAUAAAAAAAAUAUCUUCCGUAUAAAAGAUUAAACUUGAACACAUUUGUGUCUUCAAUAUGUUUGAAGGAGAAGCUGUUCACACACACACACACACACACACACACACACACACACACACACACACACACACACAACACUCUCUCUUUCUCUCUCUCUCUUUGUAUCAGAGUAACCAUCUGUUUCAUUAGAUAAAGAGUGGUUGAAAGAACACAAGAAGUACUAUCAAACUGGUGAAAAGGGCUGUACAAUAUAGAUAUCUUUGCACUUAAUUUUUCUCUUAAGUCAUCAUUGUUAAGUCUCCAUUAGUGGACUCUUCAAUCAUUUCAGUAAAUAAAUAUAAAGUGCAAAUUAACAUUUUUAUUAACAAGUUUUUUAAAGGAAUUUUUAUUUUGAUUUAUUCAAUGUGAAACAUUUCUUCCUUUUUAUCAAAUUCAAUGUCUUUCAGUGCUUCUGUUUUUGUAGCUUUUAUUCCACCAUAUGAUUUCAAAAAGUAAAUCAAGAAUGUACUCAAGAUACACAGCAAAGAAAGUCUUAUUUAUUUAUACCUAAUUCACUGCAUUGUCAGUAAGAUUAAUGAGUGACUGCCUUUGCUACUCAAGCAGAACAAAUACUGUAUAUGGUAUAACUAUUUGAAAGUAUUGGUAUUUUUUUGUUCCUUUGAUGUUUGCAUCUUUUAUCCAGUUAUAUUGGUGAGAUAUGUAUAUCAUCAUCAUUGUUUAAUGCCUGCCUUCCAUGUUGGCAUGGGUGGGACAUAUACAUAUAUACUAAAUAAGAAGACAAAGAAAAUUCUUUAACACAUCUUUAAUGAUUUGUUACAAUUGUUUCUGUAUCCACUUGAUUUGAAACACUAGUUUAUGCAAAAAUCUAAAGUGAAAAUUUACGUAAUGUUUGCAGUUUUAAAGCUGUGUCAAAGAAUUUUCUUUGUCUUCUUUUUAUCUUUUGGAUUAUUUACUCUUCACCAAAUCCACUUUAUGGUAUGAUCGUUGUGAAACUUGGAUUUUCUACACCUGAGGAAUUCUGGCAUUGGCCUGAAACCCGACAGUGUUGAUAACCCAGUAUUUGGGUCAAGUGCUUUUCUGGAAAUAACCUAACUUUACACUCUAUCAGGACCUUAGACUAUGUAUAUAUAUGUAUGUAUAUUAUCCAAUGACAUUCCACAUAGUUUCCAUCUACUAAAUUCCAUUACAGGGCAUUGGUAAAGCUAUUAUGUGAAAGAUACUUGCUCAAGAUAUCACAUAUUAAGACUGAAAUGAGAACCAUGUGAUUGUAAUGCCUGUAUCUUGAUAUUUUGUUAGUAAAUAAUUUAUUAAAGAACAAAAUAUCUCCUUUGUUAAGGUUUGUUAAUACAAAUGAAAACCAUAGAUGUGUAGUAGCAAUGGAUGGCUGAAUUACAGAAUUGGUGCAUAUAUUAUAUGGUGAAAUUCCUUUGUGGUUGAUUUUGGUUUUCAAGGUGGCAGAAUUGUUAGCAUGUUGGGCAAAAUGAUUAGCGACAUUUUGUCUGUCUUUAUGUUCUGAAUUCAAAUUCUGCCAAGGUCGACUUUGCUUUUCAUCAUGUUGGGGGUCGAUAAAACAAGUACCAGUUGAACACUGGAGUCGAUUUAAUUGACUUAUCCCUCUCCUGAAAUUGCUGGCCUUGUACCAAAACCUGAAAGCAUUCUUUCAAGAUUAAUAAGUACCAGUCUAGUACCAUAUAAAUGACAGUAGCUUUGAAGUGGGUGAUCCAGCUUAUCAACAUUAAAUAGCUAAAAUCAGUAAAAGUGAAGAUUUGAUGACACUGUUGUGAAGUCAUGUGGCCUAGUAGUUGGAUUCACAAUUGCAAGAUUCUAUUUGAUUCCUAGAUCAGGCAGUGUUUUGUGUUCUUGUGUCCACACGACUCUAAACGAGUAACCCAGCAAUGGACUGGCAUCCUGUUCAGAGGGAAUCUUAUGAUUUUCAUCCCUUAUAUGCUAUGGAAACUGGGUAACCUGCCCUAUGAGGCCCAGGACUCCAGACAGUAGUAUCCAGGUUGAUGUGGUGAGACAGUCAGAGCUCUAGUCAAUGAGCAAACCGAUAGUGUUAAUAAACUGGCUUUGAACAGUAUGAUAAAACCUGGUUAACUCAAUGGACUGAUAACCACAUCAAUAAUUAUCAGUCAUGAAUCUGUGUUACUGACUCUUCAUUAUAUUUCUCAUGGUACAUAUCUGAUUAAUACAAAACUGUCUUUCUUAAGUCUAUAUUUUUGACUGAUUACAAUCUGCUAAAUACUUGUUGGUUUCAUUGAGCAAGUUAUUAGAAAAUAUUUAUUUUGCUGCAUGAAGUAACAAUGAUUCUCAUGUAGUUGCAACAUACUUCAUGUCCCCUGUUUUGGCCUUUUUAAGAUGCAAACCUUGAAUUAAUUUAUGCAUUUUGCUAUAUCAUAAAAAAACUUUGAAUGUAGAAACCAUUCAUGCAAUACUUUGAGUUCUGUAUUUACUUGUGGUUUUUCAUUCACAGUAUAACAAAUUUGAUUUUUCACAUAUAGGCUUCAGUCUAUUAUUCUGCAUGUCACAGUUCUUAAGACAUUGAUCUAGGAGUCCUUGCUGAUUUAACAUAAAUUGAAAGUACUCCAAAUGUUGCUUAGCUGUUUGUUAUAUAUCUUUCAUUCUGUUGCAAUUUUUGUCAUUCAUAAUGUCUCUCUGUGCAGGAUAUUUUAUUACUCUGAGUAUUGCAACUCUUUAUUUGUAUUAAUCAUUUAACUUUAGCUUGAAACUCUAAUAAUUGCUAUUUUUCUUUGUCUUCCUUUGUACUUCAUUUCAUUUGUUUCUUCAACUAUUGCAGGCUUCCUUAUGCUUCUUGCUUAAGGGAAAUAUGCUAUUGGGAAUCUUUGGCUUGUUGUGUCCUUAAAAUUGAUACACCAUUCUGCUAACUUCUGAAUUUGAUCUUUUAUACGACACCAUCUGUUCUGAGUUCAUUAAACUAUAGAAACCUCUGACAUAUUGUACUAUUCAACCAUCAGGUAUAUGAAAUUUUAGUCAGCACAGAGUUUCAACAUCAGCCUUGUAUGUUAGGCAACUCAUUCUGUUUUACUUGUUACAGCUGUUGAUAUGAUCAUCCAAUAAUGAUGAUUUCUAUUUUCCUGAAACAAACAGAUAAUCUGUUUGAUCAGAUUAUCUAUCCAUUAGAUCUCCAUGUGUCUAGAUUAAUACAUUUAAGCUGAUAAUGAAUGUUAGAUUAUGAUAAAAAAACAUAAUAUUUUCCUGUAAUUUCACUAAACUUUGUGCCAUUCCUUUUCUCAUAUCUACCAUUUCAUGUUUAAAUGGUUAACAUUAGAAAAGACAUCCCUUACAAGAAACUUGAUAAAAAUAAUUUGUCUGUAAAGACUAUCAUUUUAAAAAGCAAUCUAAUUCAUCCUCCUAUAUUAUUCUCUAGCAUAAAAAGUAAAUAAUCCAAAAUGACAUUUGUCAUCUGUAUCCACACAAGGAUUCUUUCAAUCCAGAGUUACAUUGUCUACCAUAUCCAUUCUGUAAAGUUGAAUAUUUAUCCUUUUUGAAGAUGUAUUCUGCCAUUGAGAUAAAACUUGUUUUGUAAAUAAUUAGCUCUUUGUAUUAAUUCACUUCUCUAUUAACCUUUUAACAUUUAAACCUGCCAAAAUAUUCCACUUGAUUUAUGUUCAAGCUAGCUAGACCUGGCCUACCCUACAAUAUCAUUGUGAAAAUAAAGUUAUUUCAUCAAAAUCUUCAAACCAGAAGAUAAUGCAUAAUUAAUUCAAAACAUUGUGAAUAAAUAAGCAUUACAUUUGACAGAGUAAGAUGAAUGUUAAAGAGUUGAAUUCUUAUUUAAAUAGAAUAUACUGAAGUUAAAAACGUUUUUUUUUCUGUAAAAGAACAUUUGAAGUAAUAGAUUUUGUUUUUAUAUUUAGACUGAAGAUUAUCAUCAGUAAUAUUAGUGAGAAAGAGGAAACUGUUGGUAACAUUAGGAAAACAAAUAUUUGAAGAUGGCAACUAUUAUGAAAUUUUGUCAAUUGUGUAAGAGUUAUCACAUUAUGUAAAAUCCAUAAUAGAAAUAGCGUGAAUACUGUGAUUAUUUAAAACUUUCUUGUAUACAAAUAUUCUCACAGAAAUCAGUGGAUGUAUGUAUGACAAAUAAAACUGUUGUGCAUAUCAUGUGGGUGUAAUUUUCCUUAAUUUCAAUGUGAAGUUUGUUAUUACAUGAAGUAAUAAAGACUGAUAAUGAAGAGCCAGCAUGAAUUCAAUAGACAUGUUUAGAGGUUGAAAGAGAAUGAAAAUACAAAUGUUCUGGAUUUGAAUAAAUUUGAGAUCUAUAAGGAAGAUUCUUUUUAUUUUAUUUUCAUUUUACCUUUAUUUUAAUUUUUUCCCCAUUUAUGACUGCUUAUUUAUCUUCUUUUAGCAGAGAAAUAUAACUCACUCAUUAGAGUUUAUAUAAUUCUGAGAUGAACCUCCACUCAGUUACAAUAUUAAUAUUCAAAUUAUAAAUGGCUACAGUGAUGUAUGGUAAUCAGAAAUUAAAUCAUCAAUUAAAAAGAAAAAAAAAUGCACAGUUAAUUUAAUCAGAAAUACAAAUAAUAGCUAUAGUUGAAAAUGAUAGCUAUCACUGUUGGAGUGGUGUACUGAAAACUUCUUUCAAGGAUGUAAGAAUUGGCUUCAGUUUUAAUUGUAAUUUUAAUAUUUUUUGUGGCUGUUUUUAUAACAAGAUGACAUUUUCCCGGUUACUAGGUUACCACUUAACUCUUCAUGUCAUAUGUUCAAGUUGACCCUUUGAAAUUCUCUCUCCAGGUCAUUCACUAUAAAUGAAAAUUACUGGUAUGAGGGCUGAGUAAAAAAAGAAAUAGGUUGAUUUGAACCUGUACCACAAGCUUGGCUUGCAGGCAACGUAACAUUAUCAUAUAGUGCUUAUACACAAAAUGGUUAUUCUUACCUUAAAUCUAAAACAAAUGGAAAACUUUGAUUAAAUUUCAGUUAUUUUAGUUGUUAUGAGUUUACUAACUUGUUGAAUAUUUACUAAAUAUCAAUACAAGAAAUAUUUACAGUUUUAAGUAAAGUCAAGCUUAGUUAUAACUUAAUCAAGUGUUUCUUGAGAGAUAGAAUUUCUGAGUGCAUGAGCUUUUGCAAUGCUCUAAUGUUCUGUUCUACCCCAAAUUGCCAAUGACUAUACUGCCCCUCCUGAGACCAGCUUGUGUCUACUACAAUACUUCAACACAUCUUUCCUUCAGCCCUCACCAACCUUAUUGUCUUCACACCACGUAUCUGUACCAUCCAUUUCCUCUCAAGAUCUAUAAAGCCAAUAUUACUGGUCACCUCAUUGUUUCUGUUUGCAACUGCCCCUACAAAACCUACUUCUACAUACAUGAACUAACUCUCCUUACUAUUGAUACUAUCCUUUUCCUUCUCUUCUGGUCCUCCUGGCUAAUUCCAAUCACUUUUUACUGUUGAUAUUAUCUCCUCACCAUAAUCCCCUUCUUAUAUUAAUGGACACACAGUCCUCAAAUUCUUUCUGGACUGUUGCACUAAACUUAAACUUGGCAUCCUUUACUCAGCCUCACUGAACUAAUCCUUCUUUUUCAUCAACUUCUUUUUGUAAGUGUUUUAAUAUCAUAUUAUUGAGAUGAGCAUGGGCACUAAUUAUGCCAACCUUUUGGUUAAUCUGAGGCCUAGAUCCUCACUUGUUUCGUUGAUUCUACUCCAGAGCUAUAUGUUCAUCUAAAUAACUGUAUUAAUACCACCUGUCUUACUCAUGAACAACUCACCUCUUUCAUUUACUUUGUCAGCUCUACCCCAGAAUUCUCUUCUUACAUCUAACUCCCAUCAACUCUGAUAUCUCCAUGUCAUUUGACAACCCCAACCUCUCUACCUAUGGCUUUUACAAACUUACUGUCCAUACCUCAAUUUCCUUCCAUCCUACUCACAAUUCUGUCACUUCUACUAUCUGUUUAGACUCUUUCAAGGCUUAGGUCCUUUCAAAUGAUUCACUUUUCCACUUAUGAUGUUACCUCAACCAGCUAUCAAUAUACUUCAAUAUUGACUACACUUCUAUCAUUUUUACCUGUACCCACCCCACCAACAAUAUUUCCUUCACCUCUCAUCCUUCCAUCUGACCUUUCUGGUACACCAUUCCACAACCCAAUCUCUCCAGCACACUACCUUUUCCAAUUUCUGUCUUCUCUAAACUGGCCCUGUUCCUGCUUCAAGAUCUUUCUCUUCAUACAGAUCAUUACUACUCUGCAAUGUUCCAGAUGCACUUUCUAUGUCACUGACUGCUUUACUUGCACUUCCAAAUAUGCUAUCUGUUGUAUUAAAUGUUAACUUAUUGGCAUAUUAUAUAUAGGAGAAACUGGUUGGAAGUUAGCUGAUCAUUUUACAGAGCAUUUGUUGGAUGCUCAACAAAAUAGUAACCGAUCACUUAAAAUCAUUGCCUACUACUUCAAUACUGCAAGCUUCCUUCAUUUUACUGUUUUUAAUUUCUUACCAUCACAUCCUCCUGCACCUCAACUCCUUUGUGGACAACUGUUAAUUUUCUGUUUAGAUACACUACAUUCUUAAAUCUCAGUAAUUGACCAGCUUUCCUCUAACCCAUAUACCUAUAUUUUCACACUGAUAAACAUCCACACAUGUUCACACUACCCCUUUUUCAAUGCAUACAUGAUACUUUGUGUAUUCAAAAAACAAAAAUUACAUCCUGUUAUGUCUAUCACCACUAUUCUAUCAGUGUCACUGCUACUACUGCCAUCUUUUACACAGGCAUACUAACUCACUCUCUUACACAUACACACAGCUAACUCCUUAAGUAUAUGACUAACAUAAACCUACUACUUAAUCAAUACACUCUCCUUCUUAGCAACCACUUGCCUCCCCCUACUUCUGUUUCACCAUUAUUGACCAUGCUGGCUCUAUUAACACAUUUUGUUUUGUUCUCCAACUCAAUUUUUUUUCUCUUCUCCAAAAUGUUGAUAGUUCUUCCUUUCCUUCAGUGGUAUUUCAUUGUACUGCUGUUUGUUCUUUGUUAAUUGCUUUUGUUCAUAAAUUGCCUUCUGGAUGGGUUGUGAAUUCAUAUUCAAUGCAGGCAUCUCACAGUGUAUCUGGGCAAGACACUUCAUGUUACAUUGUUUCAGUUUAUGUCAUGAUGAAGAAUAAGCAAGUUAACUGUACUUGCUUGGGAAUAUUAUUUCUCUUUUUCAUUUACUAGAUGCUACACAAACUGGAAACAAACAUUGUCCUUAUGAAACUUGGUGGUUCGUGAAAUUGUAAACUUUUAUUCCUGUUGUGUGUGUUUGAGUGUGUGCAUACAUAAUUUUGUUAAGCCAUAAAUAUUAUAUGGAAGAGCUUGUCUUCCAGCUCAAAUCUUGGGUGUUGAAAACAGAAAUUUUUCAUGUUAUCAUUGUGUUACUUGAUUCUGUUGCUUCUGUUUUAUCACAUGAAUAGAACAGUUUGUUAUUGUAUUGUAAGAAUAUUGUUUUGCUUUUCCUUAUAUUUUGAUUUUAAGAUGUAAACCAAAACAAAGAGGAAAUCAAAUGUUUUCAAAUUUAUUUUGUUCUUUUCAAGGAAAGGAUUUUAUAAAAUGUCUUUUGUGCAUUUUAACAAUAAUAAUAAUAAUAAUAAUAAUAAUCAUUCUAUCUCAUGACACUAUAUAUAUAUAUAUAUAUAUAUAAACACAGUCUGUAAAGUAAUUUUGAGGCUAUAGUUUAAGAUUAUGAAAAUAUUAUGAAAUCAGCAGCUAUACUAAAACUACAUUCGUUUAAUUGUGUCUCAUCAUCUAUAGUGUAGGUGAUGUGUGAUUUUUUGUUAAAGAAAGGACACAAUAGACAUUGUAGUAUCUCAUGGUUAUGACUAAAAGAGCUUUUUUGAUCAAUGGUUUAUUUGAUCACUUCUGAUAUGAGGCUAAAUAACAAGUAUUUUGUCUUACAAGUGAUACAAAUGUAAAGUUUUGAUUAAAAUUUGAGAUGGUGUAAAAAGAAAAUAUUAAAUUUAAUAUUAAUUAUUCUAUUUAAAAUACUUUCUUAAGGUUUUAAUUGUAAUAUUUUAUUCUCUUGAGAAUAAUUAGCAUGUAUAGUAUUGAUGAGUAAAGUAUAAAACUGACUUUAGACGAUAGAGGAAUAUAUAUAGUGAAUCUAUAUCUGUCCUAUAUAUUCAAUAACUUUUCUUUAUUUUCAUAUCAUAAGCUGUGAGUUUCAAAAAUAAUCACCUGUUAAAUUGUUUAUUUGGAAUAACUCAAACUAUUUUUCACUUAGUGUUUACUAAAAUAUUUCAGUUUAAUAAGAAUGUUAACCAAUAAGGUGUUGAGCUGGCAGAAACGUUAGCACGCUGGGCGAAAUGCUUAGUGGUAUUUCAUCUACUGUUACGUUCUGAGUUCAAAUUCCGCCGAGGUCGACUUUGCCUUUCAUCCUUUCGGGGUCAAUAAAUUAAGUACCAGUUAUGUACUGGGUCGAUGUAAUCGACUUAAUCCCUUUGUCUGUCUUUGUUUGUCCCUUCUAUGUUUAGCCCCUUGUGGGCAAUAAAGAAAUAAGAAUGUUAACCAAUAAAAUUGUAUACCACCCCUAUUAUAUGCUAACGUUAAAUUGUUACUCCUCUGAAGUUUCUUAUAUUCCAUUUGGUUGAAACAUUUUCCCCCUAUUUUCUCUGUCAUAAAGAAUUCUUUGCCGAUCAGUUUUGCCAAAAUGGAUUUGAUUUGAAGAAACUGCCAGAUUAUUAAUUGAAAAUAAAUUUUUUGCUGCUCCUUUUUAGUUAUUAUUAUUAGUAUUUUAUUAUUAGUUAUUAUUUAUUAUUGUUUUUACUAAACACAGGUCCAGAACUAAUUGAUUUCUCUUUUAAUUGGCCUCUGUUUCAAUUAUUUUUAAGUGACACAAUAUGUACAUAUGUAACUUGUGUGUGUGUGUGUGUGCAUUUAUAUAUGCAUAAACAUACAAUCAUAUGCCCUCAGUAGUGUAGGCUGAAACUCAGGACACAAUUAUAUCAUGUAAUAACCAGUGUAACAAAACUUGUUUAGGGUUAAAGGAAUAAAGACCUUGACGUGCCUAAAUCAUAGGUUCUAUCGUAUUCAGUUAUUUUGAUCUGGAGCAUGGUUCUGAAUAUAAAAAUCUUUAAAACACACAUACAAAGACAAGAUAAAUGCAAACACUCCAAAUCAUUGCAGUAUUAUUAAUGGUUUUGAGCAUUCAAGCAUUUUUUUUAUUAUAUCUAAAAUUACAAUGGAAGAUAUUGUCCCUGUUUAACUAAAUUAUCAUCACCCUAACAUUUCCUUGUCUUUUGAGUUUUAUUCAAUUAAUUUCAUAAAAAAAUAUUUCUUUCUUUCAAAUCUUUCAUGGAUCAGUAACCUGAAUGCCUGUUAAGUACCACACUUAGUUUAAUUGAAUAAACAAUCACCCCAAAACAUGUAGCCGUUUGCUUAUGCCACAAAGUACUUCUUAUUUAGUCAUGGAACCUUAAAUUAUUGGGAAGAUGAGAAUUCUUACAAUUCUUCAAAACAAUGGUUAUAUAACAGUUUCCCAUUUCUUUAAACAGUUCUUUGCAUUCUAUUGAAUUCUAGAAAUUUUUUUGUGUUGCAGGGUUUGGAUAGUAAAGGGCAGACAAAGCAGUGCUCCUGGGUAUAGUCUGCUUCUCCACCUUCAAAGAUGGUUGGGCUAGUCUUGUAUCUCGUCUGACCAAAACAGCUUUUGACCAUCCUUUUCUUGUUCUCCGGUGGUUGAGUAUCUUCUACUGAAUCCAUGAUGUUUCAGAACCAGGAAGGAGGUCUUCAGCAGUGGGGAUUUCCUUAUCAAUCGGAUGAAGGGCAUUCUCAAGCUUUUCCAUCCAGAGCUGGAGUCUGGAUUUUGCUUGAGAUGUUGUUAGAGGCUGGAUAUGACUGAAGAAGUUUUUUGUUGACUAUCAUUAGGUCAGGAGUUCACAUCCAUGGAAGAUGUGGUGUUCAUUACUGAUAGCCUUUGCCAUCUUGACUUAACUGACCACUCCUUGACUGAUAUCAGUAGGGGCAACACAAAUGAGGACAUGCAAGUUGUUUGUGUCAGUGGGUUACUUAUAAACAGUGAUUAGGUGGCAGGUAUUUUUCAAGGUAGAAGCAUACAUAUUUCAAUCCCUUUCAUGUAAUACUCGGUAUUACCUGGGAAUUCUGUCAAACACUUUGAAGCUGAAUCAGGGAUGAGAAUUGUUAAUUUCUUUUGGAAAGCCAUUUGUGUUCUUGAAAUUUAAAACUCAUUUCUAAAUGUACUGGUGCAUAGGUAUCAAAGUAGUAGUAAAUAUGGAAAUGAAUUUUAAAUUAUAUAUAUAUGUAUAUAUGUAUAUAUGUAUAUGUAUAUGUAUGUACAUGUAUAAUAAAUAGGUGCAUUUGCAUAUAUAUGUGCAUGUGUAAUACAAUGUGUAUAUAUAUAAUAUCCAUGCAUACUAUGUGUAUAUAUAAUGUACACACACACACAUGUAUAUAAUGUACACACACACACACACGUGUAUAUAAUGUACACACACACACACACAUAUAUAAUAUAUGUAUACAUAUAUAUAUAUAUAUAUAUGUGAUAUAUAGUGCAUAUGUAAACGAUACAUAAUGUAAAAUUUUCUUUCAGUCUGUUACAGGCAUUUAUUUUAGCAAGCAUAGUUAACUGUGCAAACAAGGGAACUAUGAGGCAUGGAAACCUCUAGUUGGCCCUUUAUCGUCUAUACUAUCCCCACUGCUCUGCUGUUAUAAUAAUAUUUAGGAUCAGUCUAAAAAAUAUUGCACAACAAAUAAUAUUUUUGAAAGAAUUUGAUGCAAAGUAAACCAAGGCAUUUUUAAAUGGCUGUGUCCUAAGUUUUAGCCUACAGUUAUGAGUAUUAGUGAGGUGUGCAUGUGAGUGUGUAUGUAUUAUAUAUAUACACAGAGAAAGAGAGAGAGAGAGAGAGGUGCAUUUACAUGCAUGGGAGUAGGUAUGCAAUUAUACAUUCUUAUAGGAAUGUACAAAAAAUUCACAUACAAAUGCAUAGAUAAUGUUUGUGUCUGUGUGUAUAUGUAUGUAUAUAAAUUUAUAUAUUUUUGUUUUAUUUUUAAUACGUGUAGGUUAUUUUUGUUUUUUGCAUUUUAAAUUGUUUUAUAUACGUUUCUAUAUACAUUUUGCAUCUUCAAAAUGCUUUAUUUUGUCCAUUUUAUUGUGUUGAACAUUUUAAUUUUUUAUUUUGAGGAGUGAAUGGACAAAAUUUGAAUUUUAAAACCAAUAUUAACUGUCAAUAUCUAGUGAGAAUAUUGUAUAUUUUACACAAAAAUUUAAUUUUUUUUAAAUUUUGUUUUUUGAGAAAAUAUUUAUUUUUAUCUUUUGAAAUUAUUUGUUAAUUGCUGUACUGUAACGAGCUCACUUCAUAUCAACCUCAAUAUUUUGUCUUUUUAUUAAUAAUAAAAAAAAAUGUUUUGAAGUUUUUUUCAAACUUGUAGGUAAUGUAUGAAGACUAAUGAGUGGAAAAUCAUUCUCCACGUCCAUGGUAUAUUUAUUAUAUUUUGAAAUCAUAAUAAAUGUACUACCUCCUUCCUAUGUGAUGUAAAUUUUCACUUGGGUUUCUUUUCCUUGAUUUCUAGGAUUAUAUUUUAAUUGUUUUUUCAUAUCAUUGACAAUUGGUUGUGUUAUGUUCCUUUUGAAUCAUUUAUCAGAUACAAGGAAAAUAAAAUGUUUAAAGAAUUUAA